CGGGUGAGUAAUGUAUGGGGAUCUGCCUGAUGGCGGGGGGUAACUACUGGAAACGGUAGCUAAUACCGCAUAAUGUCUGCGGACCAAAGCGGGGGGACCUCCGGGCCUCGCGCCAUCAGAUGAACCCAUAUGGGAUUAGCUAGUAGGUGGGGUAACGGCUCACCUAGGCGACGAUCCCUAGCUGGUCUGAGAGGAUGACCAGCCACACUGGAACUGAGACACGGUCCAG
rnacentral:rRNA from 1 species